GGGGGUGACCGGCUUUGACGGCUUGUACUUUGAGAAUGUGCGACGCGGUGCAUGCUCAUUUGACACCUAAAACCAAUGAGUACAAAAAAGUGCCAAGAAAUCUCUUGCACGCGCAGUGUCUCCAUACUUCGGUAUGAAUGACUUUGCGUUCGCAUCUGUGACUGCUAGAGCGUAACGCUCGCAUCACAUUCGCGACAUCUCCUUGUCUUUGGUUCGCAGGAGGCAAACGAGAUGGAAUUUUCUGCGAAAUCGGCAAUAUGCGUUCCCACGCAUAUUGCUUAAAUCUCGGGAUAUGGCGGGAGUGAUUUUGUUUCGGUUCAAUACGCACCCCACCGGAAAAAAUAACUGAAACUACGCGUCGUAGAAGCAUCUCACGGUACUUGCUCGGACGGGAGUUCGAUUCUCCCCACCUCCACAG
rnacentral:tmRNA from 1 species